rnacentral:tmRNA from 10 species
GGGGAUGUUCUGCCUCGACAAUAGAGAGAAGAAUCUCAUGCAAGGAGAGUACGGCCUCUCAAAAAGCCGAAGGCAUACAACUGCCAACUUAUUUAGCCCUCAAAGGGCUCUUGCCUACGCAUAACGCUCCCACCGGAGCUUUGUAGGCCAUCCGCUCCCGGAUUCUCGAUAAGGGCAGCGGGUGUCACCCAUCGAGAUAGAUAGCUUUUUUGAAGGUCCGAAAGCUAUUGAAUCUAAUAGGACCAUCAAAGGGAGAAUGCUUUUGUCCAGUUUUCACAUUCUCUCCUCAGACCAACUGGACUAACCUUGAAGAUUGAGUUUCUUGCCUCCAUUGGACGCGGGGUCAUGCCCGCCAUCUCCACUA